GACGAACGCUGGCGGCGUGCUUAACACAUGCAAGUCGAACGCAAAGGCCCUGCUUUUGUGGGGUGCUCGAGUGGCGAACGGGUGAGUAACACGUGAGUAACCUGCCCUUGACUUUGGGAUAACUUCAGGAAACUGGGGCUAAUACCGGAUAGGAGCUCCUGCUGCAUGGUGGGGGUUGGAAAGUUUCGGCGGUUGGGGAUGGACUCGCGGCUUAUCAGCUUGUUGGUGGGGUAGUGGCUUACCAAGGCUUUGACGGGUAGCCGGCCUGAGAGGGUGACCGGCCACAUUGGGACUGAGAUAGGGCCCAGACUCCUACGGGAGGCAGCAGUGGGGAAUAUUGCACAAUGGGCGGAAGCCUGAUGCAGCAACGCCGCGUGCGGGAUGACGGCCUUCGGGUUGUAAACCGCUUUCGCCUGUGACGAAGCGUGAGUGACGGUAAUGGGUAAAGAAGCACCGGCUAACUACGUG
rnacentral:rRNA from 1 species